rnacentral:tRNA from 1 species
GGUCGAAUGGCCUAAUGGUUAGGGCGCUGGAUUUCGGCUCCAGAGAUUGUGGGUUCGAAUCCCGUUUCGAUCG